AUUGCUUCUUGGCCUUUUGGCUAAGAUAAGUGUAGUAUCUGUUCUUAUCAGUAUAGGAGGAAAUAGUAGAAAAGACUAGAGACCGAUUAUUGCAGUAAUUCAAACUGGAGACACUGAUAUCCCAAAAUGUGACAAAAGAAAACCCCAC
rnacentral:snRNA from 1 species